GGCACGGCUGGCGGGCCUGGCGGACGCCUGCGGGCUGACGGCCCGGGAGAUCGCCGGGUACCAGCCGCGACCGGGCUGCCA
rnacentral:tRNA from 1 species